UCCUCUAUAGCUCAGCUGGUAGAGCAGGUGACUGUUAAUCACCCUGUCCCUGGUUCGAGUCCAGGUGGAGGAG
rnacentral:tRNA from 1 species